GGAUGUGAGGCCAAUUUGGCUGCGACAUAUGUCACUCCAUUGAUCACCAGGGUUGAUUCGGCUAAUCUGGCUGCCUAGGAGGGUGUCGCUUCCUCCCUCACUGCUCCAUGUGCGUCCCUCCUGAAGCUGCACGCUAGGUCGAUGAGGACGGUCUUCCCUGAAUUAAAUGUGUGAAUCCACCUUCUAAG
rnacentral:snRNA from 1 species